AGAGUUUGAUCCUGGCUCAGAACGAACGCUGGCGGCGUGCUUAACACAUGCAAGUCGAACGGGAUUCAGAGCUUGCUCUGAUGAGAGUGGCGCACGGGUGAGUAACGCGUGGAUAACCUGCCCUGGUAUCUGGAAUAACAUCUCGAAAGGGGUGCUAAUACCGGAUAAGCCUACGGAGCCUUCGGUCUCUGCAGGAAAAGGUGGCCUCUAUUUAUAAGCUACCGUAUCAGGAUGGGUCCNCGUACCAUUAGCUAGUUGGUAGGGUAAUGGCCUACCAAGGCUACGAUGGUUAGCUGGUCUGAGAGGAUGAUCAGCCACACUGGAACUGACACACGGUCCAGACUCCUACGGGAGGCAGCAGUGAGGAAUUUUGCGCAAUGGGGGAAACCCUGACGCAGCAACGCCGCGUGAGUGAUGAAGGCCUUCGGGUCGUAAAACUCUGUCAAGUGGGAAGAAUAUGGUUUAAUGAUAAUACCAUUAAUCUCUGACGGUACCACUGAAGGAAGCACCGGCUAACUCCGUGCCAGCCGCCGCGGUAAUA
rnacentral:rRNA from 1 species